rnacentral:rRNA from 1 species
UUGCACGCUGGCGGCAGGCCUAACACAUGCAAGUCGAGCGGAUGAAGGGAGCUUGCUCCUGGAUUCAGCGGCGGACGGGUGAGUAAUGCCUAGGAAUCUGCCUGGUAGUGGGGGAUAACGUCCGGAAACGGGCGCUAAUACCGCAUACGUCCUGAGGGAGAAAGUGGGGGAUCUUCGGACCUCACGCUAUCAGAUGAGCCUAGGUCGGAUUAGCUAGUUGGUGGGGUAAAGGCCUACCAAGGCGACGAUCCGUAACUGGUCCGAGAGGAUGAUCAGUCACACUGGAACUGAGACACGGUCCAGACUCCUACGGGAGGCAGCAGUGGGGAAUAUUGGACGAUGGGCGAAAGCCUGAUCCAGCCAUGCCGCGUGUGUGAAGAAGGUCUUCGGAUUGUAAAGCACUUUAAGUUGGGAGGAAGGGCAGUAAGUUAAUACCUUGCUGUUUUGACGUUACCAACAGAAUAAGCACCGGCUAACUUCGUG